GACGAACGCUGGCGGCGUGCUUAACACAUGCAAGUCGAGCGAGAAACCCUCUUCGGAGGGGAGUACAGCGGCGAACGGGUGAGUAACACGUGGGCAACCUGCCCCAAGGAGCGGGACAACCCGGGGAAACCCGGGCUAAUACCGCAUGAUCCGCGAUGCCUCAAGGCAUCCCGGGAAAAGGUAGCUUCGGCCUCCGCCUUGGGAUGGGCCCGCGGCGCAUUAGCUUGUUGGUGAGGUAAUGGCUCACCAAGGCGACGACGCGUAGCUGGUCUGGGAGGACGAUCAGCCACACUGGGACUGAGACACGGCCCAGACUCCUACGGGGGGCAGCAGUGGGGAAUCUUGCGCAAUGGGCGGAAGCCUGACGCAGCAACGCCGCGUGAGGGAAGAAGGCCCUCGGGUUGUAAACCUCUUUCAGGGGGGACGAAGCUUCCGGGGUUAAUAGCCCACGGGGUGACGGUACCCCCAGAAGAAGCCCCGGCUAACUACGUGCCAGCCGCCGCGGUAACAC
rnacentral:rRNA from 1 species